AUGGGAUGGAGCUGGAUCAUCCUCUUCCUGAUGACAGAAGCUACAGGUGUCCACUCCCAGGUCCAGCUGCAGCAGUCUGGUGCUGAGCUGGUGAAGCCUGGAUCCUCAGUGAAGCUGUCCUGCAAGACUUCAGGCUACACAUUCACUGACUAUGCUAUGCACUGGGUGAAGCAGAAGCCUGGACAAAGCCUGGAGUGGAUUGGGUGGAUUGUUCCCAUAAUUGGUAUUACCAACUAUGGACAGAACUUCCAGGGCAAGGCCACACUGACUGCAGACAAAUCCUCCAGCACAGCCUACAUGGAGCUCAGCAGCCUGACAUCUGAGGACUCUGGAGUCUAUUACUGUGCAAGACACAGUGUUGCAACCACAUCCUGA